GAACGCACCUUGCGCCCUUUGGCUAUUCUGAAGGGCAUGCCUGUUUGAGUAUCAUGAACAUCUCAACUCUCAUGGUCUGCCAUGAUGAGCUUGGACUUUGGGGGUCUUGCUGGCCUAGCGUCGGCUCCUCUCAAAUGGAUCAGCCUGCCAGUGUUUGGUGGCAUCACAGGUGUGAUAACUAUCUACGCUUGUGGUUCUCUGCCAUGUAACCUUCAGUGAUGGAGGUUCGCUGGAGGCUCACAGAUGUCUCUCCUUGAGGAGGACAGCUUUUUGAACGUUUGAUCUCAAAUCAGGUAGGACUACCCGCUGAACUUA
rnacentral:misc_RNA from 1 species